ACCCUUGGCAUGCCUGGUAGGGUCUGUCAGACCCACACCAACGCGCAAACCGUUGUAGUUCAUUUAAAUUUGAAUUUCGAGCCUCACCGUUUUUAGUAGCUGGCCGUUACUAACCGCGGAAUGCCCUCCACCCGCUUCCUCAGCCCGCGGUCUGCUAUCAGCGUAAAAAGACUUGCGUAAAGUGCCUCCGGGUCCCAUAGACCCCACCAGGCAUACGGCGUGACUUUAUUUUUUUAAUCAUGAAUAAACAACUAACAGACGAGAACAUAGCAAGUUUAUUAUUCCAAGAGUUGGAUGUUGAAGACUUAGCUGCAUUUGAUUCAAGUGGAGAAGAGUUUGACGAAGAUGCUACGUUUGUCCCGC